rnacentral:rRNA from 1 species
CACAUGCAGUCGUGCGAGAAAGUACUUCGGGUGCGAGUAGAGCGGCGGACGGGUGAGUAACGCGUAGGAAUCUACCUAGUAGAAGGGGAUAGCCCGAGGAAACUCGGAUUAAUACCGUAUACCUCCUUAGGGAGAAAGAGGGCUUAGCUUUGAUGCUCUCGCUAUUAGAUGAGCCUGCGUAAGAUUAGCUUGUUGGUGAGGUAAAGGCUCACCAAGGCGACGAUCUUUAGCUGGUCUGAGAGGACGAUCAGCCACAUUGGGACUGAGACACGGCCCAGACUCCUACGGGAGGCAGCAGUGGGGAAUAUUGGACAGUGGGCGCAAGCCUGAUCCAGCCAUACCGCGUGUGUGAAGAAGGCUUUCGGGUUGUAAAGCACUUUAAGUAAGGAGGAAAAGAUUGUAGUUCAUACCUGCAAUCCGUGACGUUACUUACAGAAUAAGGACCGGCUAAUUCCGUGCCAGCAGCCGCGGUAAUACGGAAGGUCCAAGCGUUAAUCGGAAUUACUGGGCGUAAAGCGCGCGUAGGUGGUUUUUUAAGUCGGAUGUGAAAGCCCUGCGCUCAAC